UUGGUGAGUCCUAGAAGGUCCCGGAUCACAUCCACCAGUGAAAAUACUGAACUGAUAGUGGCUCCUCCUCCCGCAAAGGCGGAGAGAUAGCGGCUCUGCGGCGCUGGAGGGGUCCUUGGGUGCCUCGCUCUCGAGGGGCAGCCCCCCUUUGCCGGCAAAACCCGUCGACCCAGUGCCUGCACUCUAGUUCCAGGCUUCCCCGCAGCUUCACGAGUCUCAAGCUUGCCUUCCCGUUUCCUCCCACGUAAGCCUUAGCUGCUUGGGCAAACGUUGGCAUCAGCGUGUCCCUGUCGGGCACCGUCGUCCCCAAUCCCACCCACAAGGCUGAGCGGCGCCCCAUCUGUUCAGAGAGGAAACUGAGUCCCAGGAAGACUCCAAUUCGGCCCAGUUCUGUAUCCCCACCCCCUAUGCACAAAUACAAAUAACAGUAUCUUUUUCUUAAUAAAUUUAUUCACAAAAAGUGAGAUUGUAGAGGGUCUGGGGGCUGUACACAGGCAGGGGCCUGGGGAGCUCUGUACAUGGGGCUGGGAGACAAGGGAGCCUCCAGGUGGAAGGAUACUUCUUAAUAAAAAAAAUAAUGGGAGGUACCACCACCCCCUCCCCCCUCCCCGAUUAAAAAGACACAAAAAUAGACGUCUC